GCUCCGUAGGUGAACCUGCGGAGGGAUCAUUACAGAAUUCAUGCCCUACCGGGUAGAUCUCCCACCCUAUGUUAUUAUUACUUUGUUGCUUUGGCGGGCCGUUAGGCUCCGGCCCGACUACCGGCCCCGGCUGGUAAGCGCCCGCCAGAGGACCCAAAACCCUGAAUAUUAGUGUCGUCUGAGUACUAUAUAAUAGUUAAAACUUUCAACAACGGAUCUCUUGGUUCUG
rnacentral:misc_RNA from 1 species